rnacentral:rRNA from 1 species
UACAGAGGGUGCGAGCGUUAAUCGGAAUUACUGGGCGUAAAGCGCGCGUAGACGGUUUUGUAAGUCAGAUGUGAAAUCCCUGGGCUCAACCUGGGAACUGCAUUUGAGACUGCAUGGCUAGAGUAUGGAAGAGGGAAGUGGAAUUUCCGGUGUAGCGGUGAAAUGCGUAGAUAUCGGAAGGAACACCAGUGGCGAAAGCGGCUCUCUGGGCCUUACCUGACGCUGAGGAGCGAAAGCGUGGGUAGCGAACAGG